rnacentral:lncRNA from 1 species
GAUGUAUGACAUGAAAAAUACUCAAGAAUGGGCAUUCACAACUCUUCCUCACUUAGAAGAAUUCGCAGCAUUUUUUUCCACCUUGAGGACUUCUGUAUACGCUAGGUCAGCACACAAACUUUUAUUUGACAGAAUCUGAGUGCUGGGAGAGGGGAAAUAUCUGUAUUGAUUUAUUUCAGAAAGUUAUGGGUAGAAAAGAAUGUAGUUAAUCAAGAAGAUUAGAAGGUUCAUUGCCCUGCUGUAAAAUUUAAGCUCCAUGAGAGCAGGGAUUUUGUGUGACAUGUUCUCCAGUUUAUCCCUGUUCUUGAAAUGCUUGGCACACAGUAGGUGUUGUUUCAAAUGUGUUGAAAGAAUGAGUGACAUUGGCCCAUACCAGGUGGGCUGUGGGUGAUGGAAGGGAGAGAUCUUGGAAGUUGAGGGAGGCAGGUGGUGCUGACAUGUGGCUGCUGUGUAUGUGAGCUUUUGAGAAAGAUGGGAAAAGGUUUUAGAUUUUGCUGUGAGUUAUGAACAAAUCCUUCCUUGGCUUUUUUUUUUUUUCAGAUGCUAGUAAAGAUUCAAAAGAUUGACAAUGAUUUCUUGGAUGUUGGACCGAUGUUUCACUGAAUGAGGCAAUGUCUACGGGGAGAUCAGGCCCUGGUGGCCACAGAAAGCCCGCAGGCAAAAACUUAAAGGUGAGAGAGAGAAGACAAGGCAGAAAGAGCUACGAUAAAGCCACAGCAGCAAAACCUGUGGGUGUUUGCUGUGUCUCAGACCCUUUCCGAAGUGCUUGUCAGGAUCCCACGCUUGGCUGGAGUUGGGCAGAGUCCCUUUCUGGCGAAAGUUGCUUGAAGUUUCAGGUUACACGUGCCCCACCGGGACACAGGCCGACCUGA